UGGCCCCUUCGACCUGCGCUCCGCGCUCUGGCGCUACGGUCUGGCCGUCGGCUGCGGCGCCAUCGGGUAUAGCACAAUAAGAAACCGACAAAAACAGCAGCUGAUGACUCACUCCAACAACGCACAGCACCAGAAGGCAAGGAAAUCAAACCUCAGAGGCUAAAUGUUCCAUGACUUCUCCAAGAUCAUGAAGAGCCGCCAGCUGUAUGGGGAACAAGGCCUGGAUCCCACCCCAAAGACAUGGAUUGGAGACCCACCCCUUGGUGACCCUAGACCCGCCAAUAGAUCGUUGUGAAGCUGCAGUUUCCCUAUCUGUAAAAUGGGAGCAUUUAGUCCACCAGCGCGAAAGGCACGGAGGGAGUUUCCCUAUUAUAUGACCGUACACGAAAUCUAGACUGUGACCAAAGUCUCCCGCUCCUCAGCCUCCUCUCCUCCGCAUCCUCAGCCACUAGUCACGCUGGAGAGGAGGCGUGGGAACUGACCUCCGCGGGCCGGGCCUCGGCAACGCGCAUCCUCCCACCCGGCCUAGCCCAGCCCAGAUCGGGGAGGGGGUGCGCGGGGGG
rnacentral:lncRNA from 1 species